AUUGAACGCUGGCGGCAUGCCUUACACAUGCAAGUCGAACGGCAGCGGGGACUUCGGUCCGCCGGCGAGUGGCGAACGGGUGAGUAAUGUAUCGGAACGUACCAUUGAGUGGGGGAUAACUAUCCGAAAGGAUAGCUAAUACCGCAUACUCUCUCCGGAGGAAAGCAGGGGACCGCAAGUACUUGCGCUCAUGGAGCGGCCGAUAUAUGAUUAGCUAGUUGGUAAGGUAAAGGCUCACCAAGGCGACUAUUUGUAGCGGGUCUGAGAGGAUGAUCCACCACACUUGAACUUAAACUCGGUCCAGACUCCUACGGGAGGCAGCAGUGGGUAAUUUUGGACAAUGGGGGCAACCCUGAUCCAGCCAUGCCUCGUGAGUAAAGAAGGCCUUCGGGUUGUAAAGCUCUUUCGGCCGGGAAAAAAUCGCAUGGGUUAAUACCCUGUGUGGAUGAUGGUACCGGAAUAAGAAGCACCGGCUAACUGCGUGCCAGCAGCCGCCGUAAAAC
rnacentral:rRNA from 1 species